rnacentral:rRNA from 1 species
UAGGGAAUCUUCCGCAAUGGACGAAAGUCUGACGGAGCAACGCCGCGUGAGUGAAGAAGGAUUUCGGUUCGUAAAACUCUGUUGUUAGGGAAGAAAAAAUGUAUAGUAACUAUAUACAAAAGAGACGGUACCUAACCAGAAAGCCACGGCUAACUACGUGCCAGCAGCCGCGGUAAUACGUAGGUGGCAAGCGUUGUCCGGAAUUAUUGGGCGUAAAGCGCGCGCAGGUGGUUUAGAAAGUCUGAUGUGAAAGCCCACGGCUCAACCGUGGAGGGUCAUUGGAAACUAAUAAACUUGAGUGCAGGAGAGAAAAGUGGAAUUCCUAGUGUAGCGGUGAAAUGCGUAGAGAUUAGGAGGAACACCGGUGGCGAAAGCGACUUUCUGGACGACAACUGACGCUUAGGCGCGAAAGCGUGGGGAGCAAACAGG